rnacentral:rRNA from 1 species
AUGAACGCUGGCGGCGUGCCUAAUCCAUGCAAGUCGAGCGAACAGACGAGGAGCUUGCUCCUCUGACGUUAGCGGCGGACGGGUGAGUAACACGUGGAUAACCUACCUAUAAGACUGGGAUAACUUCGGUAAACCGGAGCUAAUACCGGAUAAUAUAUUGAACCGCAUGGUUCAAUAGUGAAAGACGAUUUUGCUGUCACUUAUAGAUGGAUCCGCGCCGCAUUAGCUAGUUGGUAAGGUAACGGCGUACCAAGGCAACGAUGCGUAGCCGACCUGAGAGGGUGAUCGGCCACACUGGAACUGAGACACGGUCCAGACUCCUACGGGAGGCAGCAGUAGGGAAUCUUCCGCAAUGGGCGAAAGCCUGACGGAGCAACGCCGCGUGAGUGAUGAAGGUCUUCGGAUCGUAAAACUCUGUUAUUAGGGAAGAACAAAUGUGUAAGUAACUAUGCACGUCUUGACGGUACCUAAUCAGAAAGCCACGGCUAACUACGUG